UGAUCCCUUCCCGAACUCAGAAGUGAAACGAUGCAUCGCCGAUGGUAGUGUGGGGUUUCCCCAUGUGAGAGUAGGUCAUCGUCAAGC
rnacentral:rRNA from 1 species